AUGGAACCAAAGGAGAACCUGUUGGAGAUGGAGGUGGCGGAGGUGCCAGAGGAUCUGAGCAUCACGCUCGCCCAAAAGAUCAGCUUGGCUACGCAGCAAACUCGCCACGUGAAAGCAAAGGCCACAAAGGAGGAGAAGCUCAAGAAGUGGAUGGCCACCGGUGGGCCUGGGUGGCGUCGGGCGUGCUAUACAUGGUGGACAUCGCGGCGGUGGAUGCGGUGCCCAAACGGGCGCGCCCACGAUACAAACGGUGUCGUGGCCGAAGCAUUACAAGCCUCCGUACUUCUACGCUGCCAAGCAGCUCCAAACCCCCGCUGGGAAGGUCUCGUCCGGGAGCGGACAACGGGCGGGGAGCAGAUGGGUGCCUGCACGCUGUUUGCUACAAUGCCUAGAGCGGGGGAGCCCACAUAUGAUGAGAAGGACAUGGAGAUGCUCAACAUCAUCCAUGACGAAGGCGAAGGAGGAGGAUGUGGCUAUGAGGACGAGCAGGUGGAAGACUCAGAUCUCACCCAGUCCGACAACUACCGGCAGCAGCUGUCCUACACCCAGGCGGGCACGCAACAGUCCUACACCCAGCCAAGACCGCCACCCAAGCCAUCCAGGAAGAAACCAGUGACCCUAACGACCAAACCCAAGAACCGUCGAAGAAGGUUAGAAGAUUUUUACCGGGGAAGAAGUGGGAGGAGGAGAGGGCGAAGCGAGAAGGUGGCGGCCAAGCUGGCGGAGAGGUUCGAGGACAUCUUGGCGAAGAAGGAGGAGGCAUGCAUGAAGAACUCAAACAUUAAGGAGGGGCAAAGGGUGGAGAGGUUCAAAUUGUUGAUGGAGGCGAGAGGACAAGAAGCUCAAGUUCGAAGAGAGGAGGACCAUGAUCGAAGAGGAAGGCCGAGCUCGAGGAAAAGAAUAAUCGUGCAAUCCGUCUGCUACCAAAUGUUGCAGUACUCGGCAUGGCCUGCAAGAACACCAUCGUCGUUGCUAUCUCUGCUAUCUUUAUGUUGGCGCUCCUCAUGUCUUGUGAUACAGUUCAAGGGGAGUGCAAAAGGACGGAGGUCAAUACUAAUUUACCAUGUCGUAACCCCCAGAUAUGUCGUCGGUGGUGCUAUUCCGGCAAAUUCACCGGCGGCGGGUACUGCGAAAUUCAGGGUGAUAGAGCAUUUUGCGUGUGCGUGGGUUGUACGCCGCCAACAUAAAAUUGCUCAAAGUGAUCCAGAGCAAAGAAGAUCUUGCACCGGAAGGAGUUAUAUCAGGGAGAUCUGCGACUUUGCCCGCUUAAAUUUUUCAAGCAUUUCUUUUUCUUUCCUCACACGGGCGUGUAAUAAAGUAGCACAUUACCUUGCGGCGUAUGGCUCACGGUCCCAGGUCGGCCGCCAAGUUUUGGCGGAAAGCCUGCCCGACGAUGUAAACGUUUGGAUGGCCAGCUUUGUUGCUGAGCCUGUGUGA
rnacentral:rRNA from 1 species